CCUACGGGGGGCAGCAGUAGGGAAUAUUGCUCACUGGGGGAAACCCUGAAGCAGCAACGCCGCGUGGAGGAUGAAGGUUUUCGGAUUGUAAACUCCUUUUGUUAGAGAAGAUAAUGACGGUAUCUAACGAAUAAGCACCGGCUAACUCCGUGCCAGCAGCCGCGGUAAUACGGAGGGUGCAAGCGUGACUCGGAAUCACUGGGCGGAAAGAGCGCGUAGGCUGGAUAGCAAGUCAGAUGUGAAAUCCUAUGGCUUAACCAUAGAACUGCAUUUGAAACUGUUAUUCUAGAGUAUGGGAGAGGUAGGUGGAAUUCUUGGUGUAGGGGUAAAAUCCGUAGAGAUCAAGAGGAAUACUCAUUGCGAAGGCGACCUGCUAGAACAUAACUGACGCUGAUGCGCGAAAGCGUGGGGAGCAAACAGGAUUAGAUACCCGUGUAGUC
rnacentral:rRNA from 1 species